GGAAUAUUGACAUCCAACUUGAAUAAAGAAUUACAGACUUCCAGAACAGGUGCAUCAUGCAGAUCCUUUUAAAAAGGAGAGGCCAGAUCUUCAGAUGACUUUAUUGAAAAUGAGAAAUUUCUGAGUGGAAGUGACGAAUGUGGCAUGCAUACAAGCAGACAUCAGCAUUCCCUCCCUCUUGUUUGUAUCAGAGGUGAGCUUUUUGAGAAAGACUCAUUGAGGAAGUUUGAGAGUGUCAGUUCUCAGAUCAAAAAGUUAGCUAGCAGUAGGAGGAGUAGCAAUUCAUUCCACAGUAUGACAUGAGAAAUACAUGACUAGAAAGACCUUAAAAAGGAGAUUUGGCAUUGUUUCAUGUGGAGAUUAAAGAACCUUCAAAAUAUAUAACACAGACAUGUUUCAGUUACUUGGGGAUAACACUUAUGAGGAAUUUUGCUAACUUUCAGAUUGGAAUGUGUUGCACAAGAAAUGCUCGAUCACAACCCUCUUCUGUUAAAAACCUUUUCUAUGCAAAUAAUUAGUGUAAAUGAAAUUUAGCUAUUUCAUUAGUAAACAUGUUUUCUGCGCAAGUGUGUGUCUUUGACUUUAAAUGCUAUGAUAUUG